ACAGACACAUUGUGUGUUAAUAUUGUGCUUAACUGUUUACACAAUGACUGUGUUAAACACAUUUAAACAGUAUGUUGGAAUACAGUGCAUUUUUGGUCGUAGUCAAAUGGCACUGUGUUAUGUGUUUAUGUAGUUUAUUUAUCAUGAUGGUAAUAUAAAAUAAGCAAUUGUGAGAAUGUGGUUGAAAAUUCUGUAUUUCGGGAUUUAUGCUGUGGAAUUUCUACACGCGCAUGCGCAGUGACGUUCUUUUUCAACCGUCGCUCUCCCAGACCUCUGCCGGAUAAUGCACCUCUCUGCCUCAGAUGAUGGAAGUCGAGGAACAAAUUACAGUCCCUCUAACAGUUUUACACCGAGUUCUUGCAACUGUCUUCAUAGACGGAAAGGAAAUAUGGAGAAAACUAUCCUCAGUCAAACCUGAACUGUCUCGACUAUCUCUUGAUUGAAUAUUGAAAUUUGACACAGAUUUUCAAGAGUUCAUUGACACUGAUGUAAAUGCAGGAGUACAGGAGCUUGACAAAUUUCAAAUAAAUUAUAUUGCAAGCAACAUCCCCGACUCAUUAGAAAGUGUGCACUCAUUACAGUGUCCUUUAACAGAUUCAACUCAGACUGGCACCACAACUAGUUUGCUGACGCUGCUUGAAGAAAAAGCCUCUACAAUCCUGAGAGAACAUGAAGAGACAAAGACGCUGUCCAUUUUCUCAUGAAAGAUUCUUGUUAAAGUUGCUGUCAGUGACCU